GGACGGGGUGCCGGAGGAGCCCAGGGCAGAGCCAGCUCCCUCCGGCGCCGGGCGACCGCCCGCCCGGGACUCCUCGUACGCCUUCCGAAACAGCAACAUCCAAAUCUGGAGUGAUCCCCCCGAUAGGCAGCACAGCUCUCAUCCGCAAGUGAGGUGAAGCAUCCAAGGUAGCCUGAGGAAGGCGAAAGAAGGAGCGAGAGCAGCGCUCUCCCAAGCAGAGGCGCUUUCUGCGUCCGCUACAGCAGCAACUUGUUCCUUUCACCAAGGUUUGUAACUGAGUUAGAAGAAAUCCUCCAAAAAUAUCGGGAUCCAGGCUCUGGGAGGAGCCUCCGCGCCCCUUGCAGCCAAUAUCCUCCUGCCCAUUUGUGCCUGACAGUUUUGCAAGGGAGGGAAGGGAAGACCCGGGCAGCGGAGCCCCGUGCGCUCCCCGGUCAGCGGCGAAGCUGCAGGGCUGGCGGUGCCGGAGGCUGCCAGCACACUGCCAGAGCCUCACCGCUGCUCUGCGCGGUGCCUCGGCUGCCGGGAGGGUCCAUUUUAUUUUGCAGUAUUUCUUGAUUGACGUCUGUGAUUUCCCCCCGUUCUUGAAAAGGGCGGGUGGGUGCGAGGAGGGGGGAGAACCUUGUUGCUUCCACCGCAGUUAUUGGUUAGUUGCCUCUAUUCAGGCUUUAAUGAACAUGAUUUCACAAGUGUUCCCAAUCCCCCCUAAAUAACUAGGAAAGAAAAGCAAGCCGUAUUUAUGACAGUCACUGGCAUCUCUUUUCCAUGUUGUAAUUUUACGUGUAUUAAUUUAACUUGCAGUCAGGAGCAUAAUAAAUUGAUCUUUUAACAAU